rnacentral:rRNA from 1 species
UACAGAGACUGCAAGCGUUAUUCGGAUUCACUGGGCGUAAAGGGUGCGCAGGCGGCCGUGUGUGUGAGGCGUGAAAGCCCGGGGCUUAACCCCGGAAUUGCACCUCAAACUACAUGGCUAGAGCAUUGGAGAGGGUAGCAGAAUUUAUGGUGUAGCAGUGAAAUGCGUAGAUAUCAUGAGGAAUACCAGAGGCGAAGGCGGCUACCUGGACAAUUGCUGACGCUCAGGCACGAAAGCGUGGGGAGCAAAAGGG